rnacentral:rRNA from 1 species
AUUGAACGCUGGCGGCAGGCCUAACACAUGCAAGUCGAACGAGUGGCGGACGGGUGAGUAAUGUCUGGGAAACUGCCUGAUGGAGGGGGUUAACUACUGGAACCGGUAGUAAAUACCGCUAACCAUCGGAUGUGCCAAGAUGGGAUUACCUAGUAGGUGGGGUAAAGGCUUACCUAGGCGACGAUCCCUAGCUGGUCUGGGAGGAUGACCAGCCACACUGGAACGGAGACACGGUCCAGACUCCUACGGGAGGCAGCAGUGGGGAAUAUUGCACAAUGGGCGCAAGCCUGAUGCAGCCAUGCCGCGUGUAUGAAGAAGGCCUUCGGGUUGUAAAGUACUUUCAGCGGGGAGGCGUUACCCGCAGAAGAAGCACCGGCUAACUCCGUGCCAGCAGCCGCGGUAAUAC